UACGGAAGGCAGCAGUGGGGAAUAUUGCACAAUGGGCGAAAGCCUGAUGCAGCUAUGCCGCGUGUAUGAAGAAGGCCUUAGGGUUGUAAAGUACUUUCAUCGGGGAGGAAAAAACAAAACUAAUAAUUUUAUUUCUUGACGUUACCCGAAAAAGAAGCACCGGCUAACUCCGUGCCAGCAGCCGCGGUAAUACGGAGGGUGCUAGCGUUAAUCAGAAUUACUGGGCGUAAAGAGCACGUAGGUGGUUUUUUUAAAGUCAGAUGUGAAAUCCCUGGGCUUAACCUAGGAACUGCAUUUUGAAACUGAAAUACUAGAGUAUCGUAGAGGGAGGUAGAAUUCUAGGUGUAGCGGUGAAAUGCGUAGAUAUCUGGAGGAAUACCUGUGGCGAAAGCGGCCUCCUAAACAAAUACUGACACUGAGGUGCGAAAGCGUGGGGAGCAAACAGGGAUUAGAUACC
rnacentral:rRNA from 1 species